UACGGGGGGGGCGAGCGUUGUUCGGAAUCACUGGGCGUAAAGGGCGCGUAGGCGGCCCGCACAAGUCUGCGGUGAAAACCUCCGGCUUAACCGGGGGCCGGCCGUGGAAACUGUCGGGCUGGAGGCUGGGAGAGGGCAGCGGGAAUUCCCGGUGUAGCGGUGAAAUGCGUAGAGAUCGGGAGGAACACCGGGUGGCGAAGGCGGCUGCCUGGACCAGUCCUGGACGCUGAGGCGCGAAAGCUAGGGGAGCAAACAGG
rnacentral:rRNA from 1 species